GAACGACAUGUCAUUUGUUCCUAUUUAUUUAAGAAAUAUAUAUUCAGGUGACAAAUGACAUGCCUAC
rnacentral:sRNA from 1 species